rfam:Dipodomys ordii contig_54132, whole genome shotgun sequence.
GGGAAGGUGGCUCAGUGGUAGAGUGCUUGCCUUGCAUGCAUGAGGCCCUAGGUUCAGUUCCUCAGCAUCCCA